rnacentral:lncRNA from 1 species
AAGUUAAGAGAAAAGAAGGGGGCCAGUGCCAGUGGAUGAUGUAAAGACAUGAAAACAAGCCAAUGAAUGAUGAGGUGGACGACACUCGUCUCUUGAUUUAUUGUGCCAAGAAAACCUAUGUGUAUUUUGUCCUUAAAGUUCCUGGGUGAAGCACAGAUACCAGAAUAGAAAAACGUGUCUGGUUUGAUGAAUCAUGUGUGGGUUUCUGUGUGUGAAAGUUGUUGUAUUUCACCCUUUUAUAAUGACAAAUAAUAGUGCCUGUCAAUCCCAUCAUGCCAAUAUCCUACAGCUUAGUGUGCUAAUAACAUUUUUAGUUGUUUUGGAAAUCAGCUAGACAGCAUGGCUCAAAUUUAUGUCCUGAUUUAACCUGGAACAAACCCUCUCCACUGGCGCUGAGUCCAAAUUCCAAAUUCCUGAUAACAGUUUUAUAUUAGGUUAAAAGCACCAAUAACAUUUAGAAAGGCGAUAUCCAUGACUGGACAUGUGGGUUCAAUUUGAUCAGACUCUCCUCUCUCCCUCCUUCCCUCAAGGCAAAAUGGAAAACAACCCUCCAUCCCCAGCAACUUCAGAAUCAUCCACUGCCACACGGGUGUUUGGUACCAGGAUCAGUGAUCGGGAUCUGACUGAGAUUGAGCUACAUUCCGUGGAGUCCAUUAACGAUCUGCACCGAACCCAUCCAGAACCCAACCACAAAGUGCGGCAGGGCAGUGCUCUCCAGUCCCUAAGCGAGGCAGUGAGGACUGGAGAGCAGGCUGUGGCCCUAAGAAUCUCGGAACUCAUCCAGGAGCUGAAGAUACUCCGCAAUAACUUAACAGCCAUCACAGAAGGAUCCCGAAGUGGCCAAUGA